rnacentral:rRNA from 1 species
UGGGGAAUAUUGGACAAUGGGGGCAACCCUGAUCCAGCAAUGCCGCGUGUGUGAAGAAGGCCUGCGGGUUGUAAAGCACUUUCAGUAGAGAAGAAAAGCCUAAGGUUAAUAACCUUGAGUCUUGACGUAACCUACAGAAGAAGCACCGGCUAACUCCGUGCCAGCAGCCGCGGUAAUACGGAGGGUGCAAGCGUUAAUCGGAAUUACUGGGCGUAAAGCGCACGUAGGUGGUUUGGUAAGUCGGAUGUGAAAGCCCUGGGCUUAACCUGGGAAUUGCAUUCGAUACUGCUUGACUAGAGUAUGGUAGAGGGAAGUGGAAUUUCCGGUGUAGCGGUGAAAUGCGUAGAUAUCGGAAGGAACACCAGUGGCGAAGGCGACUUCCUGGGCCAAUACUGACACUGAGGUGCGAAAGCGUGGGUAGCAAACAGGAUUAGAUACCCUGGUAGUCCACGCCGUAAACGAUGAGAACUAGAUGUUGGGAGGUUGCCUCCCGGUGUCGCAGCUAACG